rnacentral:rRNA from 1 species
AUGCACGCUGGCGGCGUGCCUCAUCCAUGCAAGUCGAGCGAACAGACGAGGAGCUUGCUCCUCUGACGUUAGCGGCGGACGGGUGAGUAACACGUGGAUAACCUACCUAUAAGACUGGGAUAACUUCGGGAAACCGGAGCUAAUACCGGAUAAUAUAUUGAACCGCAUGGUUCAAUAGUGAAAGACGGUUUUGCUGUCACUUAUAGAUGGAUCCGCGCCGCAUUAGCUAGUUGGUAAGGUAACGGCUUACCAAGGCAACGAUGCGUAGCCGACCUGAGAGGGUGAUCGGCCACACUGGAACUGAGACACGGUCCAGACUCCUACGGGAGGCAGCAGUAGGGAAUCUUCCGCAAUGGGCGAAAGCCUGACGGAGCAACGCCGCGUGAGUGAUGAAGGUCUUCGGAUCGUAAAACUCUGUUAUUAGGGAAGAACAAAUGUGUAAGUAACUAUGCACGUCUUGACGGUACCUAAGCAGAAAGCCACGGCUAACUACGU